rnacentral:rRNA from 1 species
AGUGAACGCUGGCGGUAGGCCUAACACAUGCAAGUCGAACGGCAGCACAGUAAGAGCUUGCUCUUACGGGUGGCGAGUGGCGGACGGGUGAGGAAUACAUCGGAAUCUACUUUUUCGUGGGGGAUAACGUAGGGAAACUUACGCUAAUACCGCAUACGACCUACGGGUGAAAGCAGGGGAUCUUCGGACCUUGCGCGAUUGAAUGAGCCGAUGUCGGAUUAGCUAGUUGGCGGGGUAAAGGCCCACCAAGGCGACGAUCCGUAGCUGGUCUGAGAGGAUGAUCAGCCACACUGGAACUGAGACACGGUCCAGACUCCUAUGGGAGGCAGCAGUGGGGAAUAUUGGACAAUGGGCGCAAACCUGAUCCAGCCAUACCGCGUGGGUGAAGAAGGCCUUCGGGUUGUAAAGCCCUUUUGUUGGGAAAGAAAAGCAGCAGGUUAAUACCCCGCUGUUCUGACGGUACCCAAAGAAUAAGCACCGGCUAACUUCGUG